rnacentral:rRNA from 1 species
UACGAGGGGGGCGAGCGUUGUUCGGAAUUAUUGGGCGUAAAGGGUGCGUAGGCGGUUUGGUAAGUCUUGUGUGAAAGCCCCGAGCUCAACUUGGGAAUUGCAGUGGAUACUGGCAGGCUGGAGUACGGUAGAGGAAGGUGGAAUUCCCGGUGUAGCAGUGAAAUGCGUAGAUAUCGGGAGGAACACCAGUGGCGAAGGCGGCCUUCUGGACCAGUACUGACGCUCAUGCACGAAAGCGUGGGGAGCAAACAGG